GCCCCAGUAGCUUAGCCCGGUUAGAGCAGACGGCUGUUAACCGUCAGAUCACCAGUUCAAAUCUGGUCUGGGGCG
rnacentral:tRNA from 1 species